GAUGAACGCUAGCUACAGGCUUAACACAUGCAAGUCGAGGGGAAACGACAUCGAAAGCUUGCUUUUGAUGGGCGUCGACCGGCGCACGGGUGAGUAACGCGUAUCCAACCUGCCCACCACUUGGGGAUAACCUUGCGAAAGUAAGACUAAUACCCAAUGAUAUCCCACGAAGACAUCUGAAUGGGAUUAAAGAUUUAUCGGUGAUGGAUGGGGAUGCGUCUGAUUAGCUUGUUGGCGGGGUAACGGCCCACCAAGGCAACGAUCAGUAGGGGUUCUGAGAGGAAGGUCCCCCACAUUGGAACUGAGACACGGUCCAAACUCCUACGGGAGGCAGCAGUGAGGAAUAUUGAUCAAUGGGCGAGAGCUUGAACCAGCCAAGUAGCGUGCAGGAAGACGGCCCUAUGGGUUGUAAACUGCUUUUAUAAGGGAAUAAAGUGGGUCACGUGUGACUUUUUGCAUGUACCUUAUGAAUAAGGACCGGCUAAUUCCGUG
rnacentral:rRNA from 1 species